CUACGGGCGGCUCCAGUGAGGAAUUUUGCGCAAUGGGGGUAACCCUGACGCAGCAACGCCGCGUGAGUGAUGAAGGCUUUCGGGUCGUAAAGCUCUGUCAAGUGGGAAGAAUAUACGAAAUGCUAAUACCAUUUUGUACUGACGGUACCACUGAAGGAAGCACCGGCUAACUCCGUGCCAGCAGCCGCGGUAAUACGGGGGGUGCAAGCGUUAUUCGGAAUUAUUGGGCGUAAAGAGCACGUAGGCGGCCGCUUAAGUCAGAUGUGAAAGCCCGGGGCUCAACCCCGGAAGUGCAUUUGAAACUAAGUGGCUUGAGUAUGGGAGAGGGAAGUGGAAUUCCUGGUGUAGAGGUGAAAUUCGUAGAUAUCAGGAGGAACACCGGUGGCGAAGGCGACUUCCUGGACCAAUACUGACGCUGAGGUGCGAAGGCGUGGGGAGCAAACAGGAUUAGAUACCCUGGUAGUC
rnacentral:rRNA from 1 species